AGUAGCUUCCUGCACAUUCAGCAGUAAAGUCCCUUGUGCUGCUGCUCAUUUGGGCAAACAUUUUCUCCUUCUGUAAGUGUGUGGAUAGAGUUAUGUCUUACUUCUACGGGCAACAUGAAAUACCUGAAGGAGAGUGUACAGACCCUGAUCCUAGAGAGGUGACUUCAGAAGACAUAAGAAGCGAAACAUUUAAUGCCCCACAACAAAUAUCAACCUGUGGAAGCAAUACUUCAGAGAAGGAGACAUUAAACCCUGAGGUAUUAGAAAGGUUGGAGAAGCUGGAAGAAGAAUGUAGGUCUUGGCAUGUUAUCUAUGAGGCUCGACUACAAUCUCUGGAGACGUGCUACAGAAACCAAAAGCUCUUGUCUCAAGCAAUGAGCAUGCACAACCAGUCAGAAAACGUGAAUGACCCUUUCCACUUGACUGCUGUUCUGAGUAUGUUUAGGACGCUUAAGUUACAAGAAUGGGGAAAAUGCUGGAGCAGCUCAGACCGCUUGUCCUAUUCACGGGCCAGCAACAUUAUUAAGAAGCUGUUUGAUGCCUGUGAGAAAGAUAUUGAGAAGAGAAAAACUGACAUACUUGAAAUCCUUGGCUUUUCAUCUUCAGAUAAUGCUGCGAAUUCCUGCAAACAAGAGCAGAUGCUAGGUAUAAUGAAACUCUUAAGAGAUGGUUAUUACCAUAGCGACUUGGGCAUUUGCGAAAUUAUUAAGCAAGCUGAUGUUCCUCUGAGAAGUAUGAAUCUAAAGCAGUUUGCACAGAAGUGCUGCAGAGUUUUCUGUUUGCUGCUUCUUCAGGACUCACCAGUUAAAGCUGUGUGGUACAUGGAUAUGUGGCCUCAGCAUUAUUUAGAGUACGUGGACCAGCAAGUCAUAACAUACCAUAAAAGAAACAAGCUUCAAAUUCUAUGGCCCGUGCUGACAGAUGGGCAAAAUGUCAUUGAGAAAGGUGUAGCGUAUGAUGGAAUGUAACAAGGCUUUAAUGUCAAGCUUAUACUUAUAUGACCACAAGAAGAUGAAAUAGCUGUUGUGCAAUUUGUUGCUUUUCUUUCUCCUAUGAGCAGCCUGCUUUUCAUAUCUAAUUAAAUGUUUCUGGCUUGGGAUAUCGAGAAUAAACUAUAAUCAACAAACACCUAUUAAAAAGUGAAAGUG
rnacentral:lncRNA from 7 species